CUGGAACUUGGAUUCACCAGCAGCAUUCCUGCCCUCGUGCACCAUGCCUGUCCACCAGGAGAAGAUACAGCUUCUUUUCAGUCUGUCUGAUCUGUGUAGGACUGACUGUGAGCUGAAGACACC